UGUUUUGCAGCCAACCAAUCAGUACCGGCGCUGUGUGAAAUUCAGCCAAUCGGGGAGCAGACUCCCUCUGUCCCCAGCCUCAGUGGUUGGCGGAUCAGCGCUCCUGCUGCUUGGCGCCCCCCUGGAGACAGCCUGAACCACAGAGUCCUGCUUGCUUGAGUGAGCACGGAAUCCAGUUUUGCUUUUGAUUUCAGAAUUGAGAGGUCUCGUUGUCCUUGAUGAAGUCAUCAUUCAAUGUAUACAUUCAAUGUAUACAUUGUGACUAUGUUAAUUAAGACUUUCAGUCCCAAGCCUUUCGUACACAACUUUUCAAUUUUCCCUGUAGUUAAUGUUUGCUUAGUGGUUUUCAUCUGCUUCUUUUUCUUUUCCUGGCGUCUUUUGUUGUUCGUUUUAACCAAACUGCCUAAUGAUUCUGCAUUACAUCUGUUUCUUUCUGUAUAAACGGAGGACAUGACCACUCCAAGACUCAGUUAUGUCUACGGCAAAUUCCUGUGUUGACGUCCUAACUCCACCAUCUCAGAUUCUGACUAUAUUUGGAGACAUGGCCUUCGAAGAGGUAAUGAAGGUAAGAUGAAGCUGUUCGUGGAGCUUUAAUCCAGCUGGGCACACAAGAAGACCUGAAUUUGGAUCACCAGCACCCAUCUAAAAGCCAUAUGUAGCUAGGCAUGCCUGUGACACCAGCAUUCUGGGUGAGGGGUGGGGAAAAAACAGGAAGAUUUCCAGGGCUUGCUGGUCAACCAGCCUAGCAAACAAUAAUGAUAAUGGUAAUAGCAACAACAAUAAUAAUAAUAGUGAAUGGUGAAUGCCAGGCUGGAUGAAAAACCUGUCUCAGGCAGAGAACAAUAAAGGAAUACAUCCUAUAUACUCCUCUGACAUGCACACAGGCACACAUAUGCACACAUGUGUAUGCAUGCAUAUACGACAUAUGAGUAUAACACACAAAAAGAUAAAUUAAACGGAAGAAAUUAGGAGACAGAUAAUGCAAAGUGACCUUGUAAAUAAUGAGGGUGUCUGAGUGACCGUCUCUGAGGAAGGAGAAAGACCCAGGAAGAAAUCAAGAAAUCAGCCUCAGACUUACAUCACCCACAGAUGUGAAAAAGUAUGUUGUUUGGGUGAAGCUUCUGGGUCUGUGGCUCUGGCAGCAGAGCAAAUCCACAGAGCUAGUGUAGUGUGGCCCAAAUCAACACAAUUUUCCUUCAGAAUGUUGAAGACAUUGCUGCUUCCUUUCAGCCUUCCGAAUUACAAGAAUCUUCUACCACGCGAUUCUUGGGCCAUUGCGUCUGACCCCAGCCACCUGAUCUGAAUGUCCCUCAGAGAGUGGUGGCACUUCUGCCUGCCCUGGUGCUUUGAAAUCUGAACCGCAAUCAAUCACAACAACCUCCAUCCUGAGUGCUUUCACAUUAAACCCCAACCCCCUCCCCCAGCAUACUCUAGACUCCGGGAAGCCAAGGUGCUGGGAAACUGAGGCAGGCUUUGGAGACAGAACUAAAGGGGCCCUUUUUGCUAAGUAUGUCUGGCACAGGCUGGUGCUGGUAGGUGCCUUCCAUCCUCCCUGGCGUCUGAUGGGCCAUGUUGGUCCUGCCAAUCUGUGAUCACCCAGCACCUGACGCGUACUCAUGAGCCCAAUUCUGCAGCCAGCACUGGAGUAGCAUCGAGCUGGCAUGUCCUGCACCUGAUAGCUUGUGGGUAGGAACUCAGAAGCAAACCCCCAGGCUUGGUGAGGCAGAAGCUAUUGCCCCUUAAAGAGACUCCUAAUAUCCCUUCAAGUCGGUUUUUGGUUUCAGAGAAGUCAUUCCACAGAAAACUCCAGGGGGCAUUUAAAGGAGCCCAAAUCAUGGAAUCAUUCUUCUGCAUGAUCUGAAGUAAACGUGUUCAUUGUAAUGCUAAAUUCUCUCGUCCACGGUCUGUGAACAUAUAGUGUGAAACAGCAUAAUCAUCAACGGAGCAUGCUAAGGAAGAUGCCUGCCUCUACCGUGGGAUGACAUCUGUACAAUACGAAUGUGCAUGAGGUUCCCCAGAAAAAAUCAUCUCAUGUCCAUGUUUGGUGAUACCUUGCCUUCAAAUUAUCCCCAUGCUGUCCUCACAAUGGAAGACUUCUCCUUCUACCAUCAUCUCCCCAGACUGCUUAUGGCUUUAUGGGCACCAAGAGUGAAGCCAUCAUGUUGGGAGAGGCAUCUUCUGUGGGCCCACACUGUCCUAGGUCACUCUGGAUGUAAUGAAUGGCUCACUAUGCCCAUGAUCCUGACCAGUUAUAGUGGUUGAUAGUACUGGUCAACCUAACACAUAGGAGGCAGAGCUCUAGGUAGACCUGUGAGGGAUUAUUUAGAUUAAUGUUAGGCUCUGAGAAUGUCUCUGAGGGGUGUCUUGAUUAUGUGAAUUGAUGUGGGGAAACUCGUCUUAAUUAUAGGUGGCACCAUUCCCUAGGCAGGUGUGGGAAUGAGUGGAAAUACUGACCUGAACACUAGUAUACAUUAUUCAUUGUUCUCUGCUCUUGACUGUGGAUAUAAUGUAACCAGUUCUCUCAAGUUUCCAACACCGUGACUUCCCAGCCAUAAUAUUAUAACUUGGAAGUGUAAGAUAAAUAAAACUGUCCAAAUAAA